rnacentral:rRNA from 1 species
GAUGAACGCUGGCGGCGUGCCUAAUACAUGCAAGUCGAGCGAACAGACGAGGAGCUUGCUCCUUUGACGUUAGCGGCGGACGGGUGAGUAACACGUGGAUAACCUACCUAUAAGACUGGGAUAACUUCGGGAAACCGGAGCUAAUACCGGAUAACAUGUUGAACCGCAUGGUUCAACAGUGAAAGACGGUCUUGCUGUCACUUAUAGAUGGAUCCGCGCCGCAUUAGCUAGUUGGUAAGGUAACGGCUUACCAAGGCAACGAUGCGUAGCCGACCUGAGAGGGUGAUCGGCCACACUGGAACUGAGACACGGUCCAGACUCCUACGGGAGGCAGCAGUAGGGAAUCUUCCGCAAUGGGCGAAAGCCUGACGGGGCAACGCCGCGUGAGUGAAGAAGGUCUUCGGAUCGUAAAACUCUGUUAUUAGGGAAGAACAAAUGUGUAAGUAACUAUGCACGUCUUGACGGUACCUAAUCGGAAAGCCACGGCUAACUACGUG